rnacentral:rRNA from 1 species
GACGAACGCUGGCGGCGUGCUUAACACAUGCAAGUCGAACGCUGAAGCUCAGCUUUUGUUGGGUGGAUGAGUGGCGAACGGGUGAGUAACACGUGAGUAACCUGCCCCCUUCUUUGGGAUAACGCCCGGAAACGGGUGCUAAUACUGGAUAUUCACUGGUCUUCGCAUGGGGGUUGGUGGAAAGGGUUUUUCUGGUGGGGGAUGGGCUCGCGGCCUAUCAGCUUGUUGGUGGGGUGAUGGCCUACCAAGGCUCUGACGGGUAGCCGGCCUGAGAGGGUGACCGGUCACAUUGGGACUGAGAUACGGCCCAGACUCCUACGGGAGGCAGCAGUGGGGAAUAUUGCACAAUGGGCGCAAGCCUGAUGCAGCGACGCCGCGUGAGGGAUGGAGGCCUUCGGGUUGUGAACCUCUUUCGCUCAUGGUCAAGCCGCAACAAUGGUUGUGGUGAGGGUAGUGGGUAAAGAAGCGCCGGCUAACUACGUG